rnacentral:rRNA from 1 species
GAACGUACGCUGGCGGCACGCCUAACACAUGCAAGUCGAACGAAGUAGCAAUACUUAGUGGCAGACGGGUGAGUAACAUGUAGGUAUCUGCCCUUUGGCCUGGAAUAACACGAGGAAACUUGUGCUAAUACCGGAUAAGUCUUUACGGAGAAAGCUUUAUGCACCAUUGGAUGAGCCUGCACUUGAUUAGUUUGUUGGUGGGGUAAUGGCCUACCAAGACUUUGAUCAAUAGCUGAUUUGAGAGGAUGAUCAGCCACAUUGGGACUGAGACACGGCCCAAACUCCUACGGGAGGCAGCAGUGGGGAAUCUUGCACAAUGGAGGAAACUCUGAUGCAGCGAUGCCGCGUGAGUGAAGAAGGCCCUUGGGUUGUAAAGCUCUUUCGUCGGGGAAGAAAAUGACUGUACCCGAAUAAGAAGGUCCGGCUAACUUCGUGCCAGCAGCCGCGGUAAUACGAAGGGACCUAGCGUAGUUCGGAAUUACUGGGCUUAAAGAGUUCGUAGGUGGUUGAAAAAGUUGGUGGUGAAAUCCCAGAGCUUAACUCUGGAACUGCCAUCAAAACUUUUCAGCUAGAGUUUGAUAGAGGAAAGCAGAAUUUCUAGUGUAGAGGUGAAAUUCGUAGAUAUUAGAAAGAAUACCAAUUGCGAAGGCAGCUUUCUGGAUCAUUACUGACACUGAGGAACGAAAGCAUGGGUAGCGAAGAGGAUUAGAUACCCUCGUAGUCCAUGCCGUAAACGAUGUGUGUUAGACGUUGGAAAUUUAUUUUCAGUGUCGCAGCGAAAGCGAUAAACACACCGCCUGGGGAGUACGACCGCAAGGUUAAAACUCAAAUGAAUUGACGGGGACCCGCACAAGUAGUGGAGCAUGUGGUUUAAUUCGAAGAUACGCGCAGAACCUUACCAACACUUGACAUGUUCGUCGCGACUCUAAGAGAUUAGAGUUUUCGGUUCGGCCGGACGAAACACAGGUGCUGCAUGGCUGUCGUCAGCUCGUGUCGUGAGAUGUUGGGUUAAGUCCCGCAACGAGCGCAACCCUCACUUUUAGUUGCCAUCAUUAAGUUGGGCACUCUGAAAGAACUGCCAGUGAUAAGCUGGAGGAAGGUGGGGAUGACGUCAAGUCCUCAUGGCCCUUACGUGUUGGGCUACACACGUGCUACAAUGGUAUCUACAACAGGAAGCAAGGCGGCGACGUCAAGCAAAUCCUUAAAAGAUACCUCAGUUCGGAUUGCACUCUGCAACUCGAGUGCAUGAAGCUGGAAUUACUAGUAAUCGUGGAUCAGCGUGCCACGGUGAAUGCGUUCCCGGGUCUUGUACACACCGCCCGUCAAGG